rnacentral:lncRNA from 1 species
UCGACACAACAAGUUUUGGUGGUCAACGCAUUCUAUUCCACUGUGUUACCAUUAAUUAGAAUUAAGGGAAAUUCAAUCUUCACUGUUGGAUCAAAACCCACCUAGCCUUUUGAUUUGUAUGAGCAAACACAAUUUUUAUUGGACGCAACUCUUCCCGCUAGCUUUGUAGCUCUCCACAAAACAUCACGACUCUACAUCUUCCUCUUUUACUCCCUAGAAAGUCUACACUAC